ACCCAUAUGUUCAGUCAGUAGAGUAUGGGACUCUUAAUCCCAGGGUCAUGGGUUUGAGCCCCACAUUGGGUG
rnacentral:tRNA from 1 species